ensembl:snoRNA SNORD14 Small nucleolar RNA SNORD14
UCACUAUGAUGAUUGAUUUUUUUUUUUAACCAUUUGCAGUUUCCACCAGAAAGGUUUUCCUUAGUGUUGGCUUAACCUUCCUUGGAUGUCUGAGUGA